GCGAACGGGUGAGUAACACGUGGGUAACCUGCCCAUCAGAAGGGGAUAACACUUGGAAACAGGUGCUAAUACCGUAUAACACUAUUUUCCGCAUGGAAGAAAGUUGAAAGGCGCUUUUGCGUCACUGAUGGAUGGACCCGCGGUGCAUUAGCUAGUUGGUGAGGUAACGGCUCACCAAGGCCACGAUGCAUAGCCGACCUGAGAGGGUGAUCGGCCACACUGGGACUGAGACACGGCCCAGACUCCUACGGGAGGCAGCAGUAGGGAAUCUUCGGCAAUGGACGAAAGUCUGACCGAGCAACGCCGCGUGAGUGAAGAAGGUUUUCGGAUCGUAAAACUCUGUUGUUAGAGAAGAACAAGGAUGAGAGUAGAACGUUCAUCCCUUGACGGUAUCUAACCAGAAAGCCACGGCUAACUACGUGCCAGCAGCCGCGGUAAUACGUAGGUGGCAAGCGUUGUCCGGAUUUAUUGGGCGUAAAGCGAGCGCAGGCGGUUUCUUAAGUCUGAUGUGAAAGCCCCCGGCUCAACCGGGGAGGGUCAUUGGAAACUGGGGAGACUUGAGUGCAGAAGAGGAGAGUGGAAUUCCAUGUGUAGCGGUGAAAUGCGUAGAUAUAUGGAGGAACACCAGUGGCGAAAGCGGCUCUCUGGUCUGUAACUGACGCUGAGG
rnacentral:rRNA from 1 species